UCCUCGGCUGCCAUGCCUACGAGCGCGGCAAGGAAGACCACGUCGUACUUGCCGAGCUCGUCCGUCAUGUUGGCGACAUCGACCGUAUGGAAGGACAUGCGUGCGUUCAGGUCCUUGUCCGCAUGGACCAGCUUUCGCGCACGGUCGUUGGCGGCGCCGCACCGAUCGUAGUUGUCGAACAGUGUGUUGGGCAGGUGGCGUGCGGCGAGCACGAGCGAGCUGAACGGCAAGGGACCGGACCCGACGAAGGCGACACGGGAAGGCGCGAGCCCUGGGAUGUAGCGGACCAGGAGGUCGAACUCCAGCUUGCUCAGGUCGAUGUAGUUGCUGAAGUAGGGAAAGCGGCCGAGGUGGUCGAGCGGGUUGUCGAACGCGGCAAGCAUGUCGGCGUAGUGCGCCUCGAGGUGGCCCUCGGCGUCGGAGCAGAGGCGGAUGAGCUCCUCCCGCAUCCUCUGGCCAUCUGGGCUGAGCUUGGUCACGUCGACAGGGCUCGGCGGGACGCAGGCCAUGACGAGGCUGGUGAACAGCGCGUUGACGUCGGGGGACGGGCUCAGCGACGGCAGCUUGGCGAUGGCGGCGUGGAGGCCCGCGAUCUUCUGCACCAGGGCAGCAACCUCCCCGUUCUGUGCCUCCAUGGAAGUUGUGGUUGCUACGGUUGCAGUUGGGAAGCUGUUGCUGUGCGCAAGACGCAGCUGAUGAUAGCUUGAUCGAGCUCAAGAGCAGGCAAGUGUUCGACAACUUGGUGCUGCAAGCUUGACGAGAACUGGAACAGGGACUGAGGGUAUAUAUAGAAUAGAAUGUUACGGCAGUUCGCUCAUCAGUGUCUCUCUGAUCUGAUCUUCAGAAGUUCGGAUGCAGCAUGUCCAAUGCAUGGCGCGCUUCACGCGUCCAUGGCCAUGUGGCCAGUUUCAUGCCUCGUUAGUACCAUGACGUGGGAAUGUGCUGGAUCUUCAACACGUCCAUGUCACGCCCUUUAACUGAUGAAAGUGGUAACCCUGUUUCUUUUUUGUCCCCUCGUGAAGUGGGCUUGCAACGUCCAUAUCAUGACCUUGGUCGGGGUCGGGCACGAUCUCCACCGGAGAAUAAUUAAUCUUCUUUCUUUAUAACUAAUGAUAGAACUAUUAAAAUCAAAAUACAAGUUUUUUUUUAAAAAAAACUUAAUCAAGAAAACUGCUCCCUCAAUCACAACAAAGAAGUAGAGCAAACCAGUAUCUUGUCUUUUUCUCUCUAACGUUGACAUGGUCUACGUCACAUAGCUGCAACAAUCAAUAUAUACUAUACCUUUGUAGUUGAUAAUAUUAUAUCUAAAUUUAUUUAUAGGUCUAAUUAUUUAUUUUAAAUUCUUUAAAAAGAAUUCAAACAUAAAAAUAGAUCUAUAAAUGGUCUUUAAUAAAAAUUUGCCAAUUAGAAAAUUAUAGAUUAUGUUGAGAGAUAUAACUUUGGUGUAUACCAAGUCAACAUCAGAGGUCGUGUGAAAAAAAUAACAAAAAAUAAAUUAGAAAAAUAUAAAAACUUUAAAAGAAUAUUUAGGUCUCCCUUAGAUCAAAAAAAGUUAUCGAGUACAAGGUAUAAACUAUGUCAACAUUUGAGGCUAUUUAAAAAAAUAUUUUUAUAUUAAAUUUGGUAACUUAAACGCAUAUUUGAGUCUCUAAAAUAUAUUAAAUAAAAAAACUAUCAGCUAUAAAGUUGUGGAUAAUGUCAAACUCUACAUAUCUAUAUAAAAUUUAUAUUUAAUACAACUUCAUAUAGAAAAGCUAUGAUUUUUAUAUAAGAGAAAGAGAUCAAAUAAUAUGUGGGCUCCACUGCGACUUCUGCAAAAACACCCAACAAACCACUUUGAAAUGGUCAGUGGGGCAUUCUGUCUCAUUUUAAAAGAAGUUGUUGGACCAUCUUGAUGAAGAGAUCAGUCCAACAACAGUUGGAUCUGGCCAGGCUCUCCAGAUUCGCAAACCAAACAGACGGAGCGUGCACAAAGCCGUUCCUUGAGUUCUAGGACACGGGUGGUCCAUACAAUCUUUUAGAUUUGAUCGAUAUAUCAGGUACGAAUUGAAUCCUAUGGGCAAAUAUUUGUGGCUUGGAACUUCCACGUCUGUUGCACAAAGUCAAUAACUUCAGUUAGCAUACCCUUUAGAAUAGUCUUUAGUAACUGAAAAGAUGGCCAUAUGUCAAGUUGCAUAUGAUAAAAUGUACAUAGCAUCAAGUAGUCAAAAGUAUUAGCAAACAAAGCACAAACCAAACAUUAGAGACAAUCUUCCUAGCAUUUUUUAACAAUAAUAAACUCACAACUUUAUAUAAGUGGUUCACUAUUGUUGUCGUUUGUGGUGCAUUCUGCCAACCUCAAGAGUCGAUACAUAUGUUUUAUAUACAUGGUAGACAAAACAAUAAUUACAAUGAAGAAUCACACCUAAUCUAGGUAACCAUACAAAAUGAAGUUGAACCUUCAGAAAUGUACAACAAAACAAGCUAAUUGUUUCAUGCUCCAGUAGCGAAGUAGUGUUGAGUAUAAUUGCCUCAUGAGUGCAUAUAUGGUGGACUUUUGGUGAAAGACAUUGUUUUCACAUUUUUAGGGGGGUGCAACAAUCUAGCUACUACCUAGCUCCGCCCUUGAGUUUACGACAGAACACUUCGGUUCAUAGAUUUAGAACAAACCAAACCAUUUUGAUUCUUCUUGAUUUUCCUUUGAUGGUUCAUAGUAUGUUGGCUCCUCUUGGUUUGUAUAUCUUUUUGCGUAUUCUGGACCAUCUUCUGAUGCAUAUGACGAUGAUUCAUACUUAGGUUGGACAUGCAUGAACAUAUAUUUCAGUCCGCUUAUGACAUCAUAGAUCAUGAAUCCAAUUCUUCCUCCACCCUAGCUUUCGACAUGGCUUCCUGCAAGAUACCCCAGCUUCCCAAACUGCUCCUCACCAAGGAAACCACCCACAUAAGUUCCAAACAAGGCACCAGUGCCCCGAAGAAAACCUCCCAUCAUGCUUCCGCCAGAGUACAUUGCUUCGAAGAAGUCCCAACCACAAGAAAUUAUUGGCCCCAAUAUCCUAUUUGCUUGAGGAGCGGCAAUAUUUGUCGCUUUUGCACAAACCUUAUGAGCUUGUUUGGUUGCUUCACUUGUUAGGCCUUCUGCCACAUCAUCAGCUAAAGCUUUCCCCAUGGUUCGUUGUCGCACCAUUUCCAAGUGUGCACUUCGAAUGUUGUUGACGUACAACUUGACACCCUCCUUUGAUGUGGAUGCAAGUCUGCUAGAGCCCUUGUCAAAGCAGUUCAUGAAUGUGGAUUGACCACUCUUUGAUGCAGCCUCCUUUCCAACAAGUUCUCUGGACUUCUCAACUAUAAAGUAGAAGCCAAUGGGGGUCAUUCCAAGGAUAUAAUAAUGUUUGCUUUAAUAUGAAACGAUGAAUAUAUAGAAGCAGUCAAUUUGGAGAUGAAAAAGGAACUAAUAUCAAUGCAAUAAUGGCUUUCAAUAUUGAAUUAUCAAUGUGUUGUAUUCAAAUGUGGCUAUUAACACAUGGAGUGUGGCUCUACUAAGCAAGAGUUCUUUAUAUAGGGUACCCCUUUAAAUAGACCCAUUGGGUCAGUAGUACGAUAAAACUUUAGAUCUCAUAAAGCAAACUGGUAAACUUGUGCAAUUAAAAUUUCAUCAUAUCCAACAUGAUUUACAAUCUAGCAAAUUAUCAGCCAUUACUGACCCAGUUGAAACACAAUGCAUUGUCACUUACUCCUAGGUUUUUAGUGAAGUGUACAUAUCAUGCUAUGCUACCGCCAAUACUAAGACUUCUGAUUGUGUUGUUUGACAUAUGCAUACAAAAUAUCUGCUUGUGAAUCCGUAACUUAAGGCGAGUCAUAGUAAAACGAACAAUGCUCGAUAAGAAGCUGACAACAGGAGAACUUGUAACACUGAAACUCACUGGUUUUCUACAAAACUUAUAAGCUACCUAGUUAUUUCUCUUCACUAUGGAAACCCUAUUUGAACAGGUGGCAAUUGGCCCAAGUCCUGUAGGAUAUGGAUCUCAAAAGCCCUAGAAUGCAGAGUCAGGGAUGAAUGUGGGUACGUCCGUACAUGACCGAGGCUCAUGCUACACUCCUGAGGUACCUUAGGACAUGUCCGAGACCUAUAGGAACGAUUUAUAAUGGUAUCCCACCGGAGGGAGGCAUCGAGCCAUCAGAUCCUAUCAAAUGGGUCUGGGUCCAGCGAAUCACUUGCAUGUACAUUGGGGUGCGUCUCCGGACCAGUAGCCGACCCCUAUCGAACCUGGCUCAGGCCUCCACUCGGACUACCCACUAAUAGCUGACCCAGGAAACGUCGUGCUCGUUACCCACCGAGGGUAGCAUGACACUUUCCCCUCUUCCUCCUUGCGGAAAGGCGACGUAAGAGGCGUAUCAUCAAAAGUCAAGACAUUCUCUGAUCGUUCUCUUGCCCUGUGUAGAGGCUCGGGGGCUGCCCUUGCACCUAAACUUUGGCCAAGUUGUUUGUAGAAUCAACAGGUCAACAAAGCCCAUAGAAGAGAACAUAAAGACCUAGAAUAACUAACCACUCCUCUGAGGCCUCGAGGGCUACACCCUACGGGUGCGCUCGCGUGCACCCAUCAAAAAAAUCUACCAACUCUCAAAAAUCCGGCAAAACGCCUAGAAGGUUCAGCAGAACCUCCAAGCGAGUGCCUACACUCCCUUGAAGGUUCGAGGGCUACUAUCGGGUACCAUAAUUAGAGGUACCCAGAGCACCCCUUAAGUGCCCAGAUGCUUGAGUAAGAAGGGAUCAUAAGCAAAUACGCCCCAAACCUUACCAAGGCACGAGGGACCUAAGUCACGACUUGCCCGAGGCCAACCCCAGGCGGGAGACAUAGUCACGACUCGCCUGAGGCCAACCUCGGGCGGGAGAUGUAGUCACGGCUCGUUCGAGGCCAACCUCGGGUGGGAGACGUAGUCACGACUCGCCCAAGGCCAACCCCAGAUGUGCAGCACAUUUUUUACUCGCCCGAGGGCGUCUCAGGCGAUGCUCCGGAAGGUGCCCACAUUGGCCAGCCACUCUUUGCGUCUGUACGUUCACCUGCCCCGCUAAAGGUGCCAAAGUCAACAAAGGACAACACGACUACGGUCUAAUCUACCUUUACCGCCCACUACGACGGUCAGGGCGCGAAUAUGGGGCAUCGUUCCCCCAUUCUGACCUCUGUUUCAACCACUCUGAGCGUGACUACAUGUAACAUCUAAUCUCGGCCUCUGCCUCCAGAGAAAUCUUCACCUCACCCGAGCUCGACCUCAGCCAACUGCCCAGUAGGAGAGCACGCGCAUUAAUUGCCACCUACUCUCCCGCGAACCUCACAAAAGACCAUGCCAAGCACUAUUUCAACCACUCCGACUCGACACACUUGGAAAAUGUCUCAUCCGCACCCUGUACAAGCUAGGGUUCGGGCGUCUGCCCAUGCCCCCGAACCCAGCCUUGGCUCUCUACCAAGUCAAAGGAACAUGCUAUAGGGAUCGGGCGUGCUUCUCCUGACCAAAAGACGACACAAGGACGAGGGCGAUCCCAUCGACCAUGCCGCUACUGGGCUCGGACACAUCUCCUCUGACCACAACAACAACAUAACAACCAUGUACUCCUGGGCCUCCUCCUUGCGACUAUAAAAGGAGGAGCCCGGGGCCUUCUAUGGGGACUUCACGGCUCACGACUCACCUCACUCCUGAUAUUGGUGCUCGCCUCAAUCAUACUCAGAGGCUAGGGAUUCACUCCCUCUCUUGACUACUUGUAUCCUCUACUAUGAGCACUUAGGUGCGAGAUAAUACAAGUCUCCCUUCCCUGGAAGUAGAGUCUUCUCUUGCCCGAACCAGGAUAAAUCUUAUGUGUCUUCUUGCAUCAACUAUCCGAGACAAAGACACGCAACACAAAUUUACUAGUUGGUUAGGACCAUCGGGUCAAAACACCGACAUAAGUAAAUGCACCUUUUUUCUUUUAAAAUCAGUAUUGGUACAUACAAAAAUACUUAUGUAUCUUCUGAUGCAGCACGAAUACUGGAAGUGUCAAUUCAAUGAGUGGUUCUAUGGAUCUAGAUCUCAUUGGCUAGAGUCAAAGCAGAAGGAGAAAGAGAAGGAGCAUCUGCAAGCCCUUCUGUAAACGGCAGUCCUAUUGGAUAGAUUUGAAGUUAAGGAUAUGAUGAGGCAGAGGUUCUGCUUGUCUACAAGUUUAGAUGUGGAUCUUACUCCUCGAUUACUACCUUAAGACCACAAGAAGGAGGAGCGUUGUUUCACAAUGCAAUUGGGUUUACAUUACCUGAUACAUCUAUGUAUCCUAGAAUGGUUUGCACAGGAGAAGUGAAAGCGGUUGUCUAUCGUGAAAAUGAAGAGCAGAGAGCAACGAAGGUAGAAAAAGUUCAAAUGCAAAUCAUGUUUAGGCAACAAAACUUGAUGAAACUAUACAAGCUUCUAAAGCAAAAUUUUGCAACUUAAAAUCUUCUUAGGCAUAUUCUUGUUUGGUGGAACUAAGGACAUAAUCUUGACUUCGCCACUUGCAUAUUUUCUUAUUAUGUAACGUGCAUUGAAAGCAAAAUGAGUAGUAUGCUUGGGCAAUGGACUUUUUGGAGUUUUAGUGGUGGAGCAUUGUAAUUAUGAGCAGAGUGUCCUUCUGACGAGAAUACAUUUACCAUUUUUGAACAAAGGGAGUAGUUUGUAAGGCAUGUUUUGAAGAUGGACCAACUAAUUCCUGUAAAACAAAAUUGAUAUGACUGAGAAGAUGAUAAAUCCACCCCUUCCUCAAACUUAGUUGGCACAUCAGUCAUGUAAAAAGUGCUGGCAACAUGGCAUAAUCAUCACAUAGGAAGAACACGUUCUUAUUAAACACUUCACAACACAUGACAUCAAAUAAAGAAGUGCAGACGAACAGUUACACGAGAGAUUCAGAGACACAAGUCACGCAACAACGAUUUGUAACUAUUGUUACCAUGCGCAGGUCCUCAAAAGUUCCUUACAUCAGAUGGACAACUCGGUCGUGGUCGUCAUCUCCUGCCUCUUCUGGAGCGUAUUGGCCUCCAUCUUGCAGCACUUGCACGGCGGGCUCACUAUCGGCACCGUGCCGCGUGCAUGCGCGUGUCCAUUCUGAAGCCCCUUGGCGUGGGCGUCCAUCUUACGCGCGAUGAUGACGGAGUUGACGACCUCGUUGUCCGGGUGGUACACGGCAAGCACGUCGAACCCGCCGCGACGGAUGUCCUCAGGAUCGACGAUCGGGUAGAGGAAGGCGCGAGCCCCGUGGGCGCUGCGCACGACGAGAGCCGCUCCAUCAGUCAUGUGCCUGCCAAGAUGCGCCACCACCUUAGCCUUGUCCUCGGCCGCCAUGCCUACGAGCGCGGCAAGGAAGACCACGUCGUACUUGUCGAGCUCGUCCGUCAUGUUGGCGACAUCGACCGUAUGGAAGGACAUGCGUGCGUUCAGGUCCUUGUCCGCACGGACCAGCUUCCGCGCACGGUCGUUAGCGGCGCCGCACCGAUCGUAGUUGUCGAACAGUGUGUUGGGCAGGUGGCGUGCGGCGAGCACG
rnacentral:lncRNA from 1 species